ensembl:lncRNA
CUGGUCUCGGACACGUGCUCUGACAGGGACGUUGAAGAUUCAUCUAAAGUGAAAUAAACAAAACACAAUUAAAGGAAGAAUCUGAUUUAAAAAAAAGAGAAGACAUAACGUAUACUAUCCUAUCAUCUCCUCCCCCAAAAUGGAAUCACUACAGAAUGGGAUGCUACAGGAAGUGACUUUUAUACGUAUACAUGUAAAAAGAAGUGUUUCCUGUCAAGCCACCUUACAGAUAACUCGCUGAAGGUAACUGCAUUAUUGAAAACUUCUUGUGUAACUGAAAGAGUUACAUCAUGCUGCGGAGCGCGACGCGGCACGACUGCGGCCCCGGCAUCGUAAGCAGCCGUGUAGUUCAGAGCGAAGAGAUGGAUUCACUAUGACUCAUAUACAGAACUCGCCAUACUCUCCACCACUUCCUAACAUCCUGUUUCCUCUCGUCCCUCCCUUCUCAUUUCCUCGGUCCUCUAUCUCUAGUAGUUCUCUUCAUCGUCACGUCUAACUGCAUGCAUGCGUUUAUUUAUAAACAAAAACAAAAAGAUGUCCGUCAGUGUCCUACAUGGGAGAGUCUUCAGAAAAUAGGAGGUCUUAAUAACUUCGAGAGCGAGAGAGAGCGAGAGAGCGAGAGAGAGAGAGAGAGAGAGAAAAUUAUAAAGUUUUUUUUUUUUUUUUAAAUUGUGUUCUUUAAUAGAUAAUUGCUGUCAUGUAAGAGGAAUAAAACACUUUGACACAUUGUAGCUCCACUUUAUCACACCACUGAGUCGUUGACACUGAGUGUUUUGUUAGCAGGACAACUAGCAUAUCACACUAUAUAUAUUUUAAUGCUUACUGAUAAUGGACCUUUUAAGUCCAUUGGAAGACGACCAUUUUAGCCAACUUUGGAGCUCUAUUCCUGGCUAAAGUGGCACCUCGGACGCAGCCACGGAGCACAGGAUGUUUCAACUGAUCCUUUUCUGUUUGACGGGCCGACCACGGGGCGCUCUGCUGCCUGAGCUCUUGCCUCACCCUCACAAAUGCGAGCAGCACUCAGGAGUAGCUACCACAAAACUACCACAAAACUGAGUGCAUGUGUGUAUUUAUGUCCCAUAAUACUCAGAGACACAGCAGCUACUCUCUUCUAUUCCUCGCUUUCUCACUCACUCGCCCAGUCUCUGUCUCGAUUUCUCUCUCUCUGUCUGUGUCUCUCUGUGUCUCUCUCCCUUUCUGUCUCCCUCUCUUGUCUCAGCCUUAGAUCAAAUCACUCAGUGUCUCCCUCUGUCCUUCAUCCCUUCAGUGUCUCUCUCUGUCAAGCAGUGUCUCUCUCAGUCCCUUUCAGUGUCUCGCUGUACCUCAGUGCCUCUUUCUUUCAAUCAGUGUCUUUCUCUGUCCCUUUCAGUGUCUCUCUCUGUUACUCAGUGUCUCUCUCUGUCACUCAGUGUCUCUCUCAGUAUCUCUCUCUGUCCCUCUCAGUGUCUCUCUCUGUCCCUUUAAGUGUCUCUCUCUGUCACUCAAUGUCUCUCUCUGUCCCUUUCAGUGUCUCUCUCUGUCCCUCUCAGUGUCUCUCUCAGUAUCUCUCUCUGUCCCUUUAAGUGUCUCUCUCUGUCACUCAAUGUCUCUCUCUGUCCCUCUCAGUGUCUCUCUCAGUAUCUCUCUCUGUCCUUUAAGUGUCUCUCUCUGUCACUCAAGUGUCUCUCGCUGUCCCUUUCAGUGUCUCUCUCUGUCCCUCUCAGUGUCUUUCUCUGUGUCUCUCUCUGUCCCUUUCAGUGUCUCUCUCUGUCCCUCUCAGUGUCUCUCUCAGUAUCUCUUUCUGUCCCUUUAAGUGUCUCUCUGUCACUCAAGUGUCUCUCUCUGUCCCUUUCAGUGUCUCUCUCUGUCACUCUCAGUGUCUCUCUCUGUCCCUCCCAAACACACUCCCACACACUCCCACACACUCCCAAACACUCCCACACACUCCCAUACACUCCCACACACUCCCACACACUCCCAUACACUCCCACACACUCCCAUACACUCCCACACACUCCCAUACACUCCCACACACUCAGACACACUCCCACACUCUCACACACUCUCACACACUCUCACACACUCCCAAACACUUCCAUGCACUCUCACACACUCCAACACACUCAGACACAAUCUCACACACUCCCAAGCACUCCAACACACUUGAACACACUCCCGCUCCAACAUAUACACACACACACACACACACACACACACACACACACACUCCCAUACACUCAGACACUCCUAAACACUCCCAAGCACUCAGACAUGCUCUCAUACACUCCCCCACACUCAGACACACUCUGAUUACAGACCUGUGGGUGUUUUCUAAAGAGCAGCAGUGGCCGUGUGCUGGGGUUGGUGGCUGUGUGCAGGUGGAUGUCUUUUUGAUGGAUUGUAUGUGUGCUUUAAUGACACUUUGAUCUGCCUGGCUGUCUCCUCCUGCACACUGCUGAAAUCUUAUUUUCUCCAUUUUAUGGCUCCAUCUCUCGCUGAAGAGGAGCAGAGCGACACAAAUUGAUGGAUUGGCUCAUUAGUAGAGCAUUGUUUCUCUGUUAACAGCUGUGAUGUUUUUAAUAAGUUCUGAGCAGGUUGCAGUACACACACAGGGCCUGAUAUCAUGAUAAAUACGCAAUAAAGUACAAUAAUCAAUAACGGGAAGGUUUGAUGACGCAGAGAAGCUGUUACCACACCAAAGUCGAUUAUUU